GUAGUGUAGCAAUGAGCAAAGGAGGCAAGUCGAGCAAGGCAAGUGGUGAUUGGUGGGCUGAAGUAGCAGCUCUUUUCUGAGGUGUUGUGUUGCUGGGGAAGUUAUAAGCAACGCGUGUCAUUUGGGUGUUACGGAUGGCGGGUGAGCUGAACACAGCACCUGGAAGUGAUGUAGGCCGGGUGGGAGGCUGUCGAGGGAAAGGAGUGCAAGAUGGGGAUUGGUGCGGGCAGGCUGUGGCAUCAGGCGGCAUCUCAGGAGGUGCCUUUUCACUUGGCUUUUUGCAGGUGCCGCAUGCCUAUGAGAGGUCUGAGAAGGUGGGGCAGCGGCCAGCAUCUGAGACCAGAGAAUGCUGUGGUCCGUCGUCGAGCUCUUCAGUUCUGUAGUUUGACGCUUCGCUUCAGGCUUCAUGGAGCCAGGCAGCAAGACGUGCGGCGGCAGGGCGAGGGCUGUAGCUGCUGCGGCGGAUCUGUAAGCGGAGGUUCCGGUUCCGGUACAACUUUGCCCCGCAGCCUCACGGGGUUAUCUCCCCGCAGCGGUGCCGUAAGGAAGGGAUGAGACGUUUUCCAGCACCAGCCAGAGCGUUCAGUGUUACGCGAAGAAUCUGUUCAAAAUGGUAUCGAUGUCUUCUCAGUGUCUCGUGAUGCUCAAGAGAUGCCCCCCGGCCCGGGUUUGCCUGCCGGUCGUUAAGCGUGGUGAAGGGCAACUUCUGUUCCCGAGGUGGUGCCUACAGUACAGCUAUCUCUUCGAAGGCAGUUUGGUUUAGGUCAGAGAAUGUUUAGCCUGGACUGAAUCAGCCUCUGUUUCUGUUUCUGGAAAUCGUCGGUCCUGUGCAUCAAGCCCGGAAAAAAGGAAAUAUGAACCAAAGGACCUGGGGCCUGCAGGGCUAGGAAAAUAUUUGAGAAGAGGUUCAGCGGGGAAAUGACUGUUUGUCUGUGGGGCGUCCAGGCAAGCAACCCAGCUGCUAGAAAGCGGCGCUGUCCCCAGGGUGGCCUCGGCGGUCCCGUCGGAGUCGGGGGAACAAGGACAAGGCAGGGUGAAGCAUCUGGCCUGCCGUGUGGACCGUGACUGUACAAAGCACGUGUGAUGCACUGCAAGUUUACCUGUUUAAACUGUGAGUUAAAGAAGGUGUGCAGUUGCUUUGUAAACAGCCGACGCUCUAAAGCUACACCCAUCUAAUUGCUAGCUGUAUUAAAUCUAUCGUAUUGCUGUUUCUGCAUUAAAAAAGAAAAAACCAACACACCUAUGUAAGCACG